rnacentral:rRNA from 1 species
GAUGAACGCUGGCGGCGUGCCUAAUACAUGCAAGUCGAGCGAACGGACGAGAAGCUUGCUUCUCUGAUGUUAGCGGCGGACGGGUGAGUAACACGUGGAUAACCUACUUAUAAGACUGGGAUAACUUCGGGAAACCGGAGCUAAUACCGGAUAAUAUUUUGAACCGCAUGGUUCAAAAGUGAAAGACGGUCUUGCUGUCACUUAUAGAUGGAUCCGCGCUGCAUUAGCUAGUUGGUAAGGUAACGGCUUACCAAGGCAACGAUGCAUAGCCGACCUGAGAGGGUGAUCGGCCACACUGGAACUGAGACACGGUCCAGACUCCUACGGGAGGCAGCAGUAGGGAAUCUUCCGCAAUGGGCGAAAGCCUGACGGAGCAACGCCGCGUGAGUGAUGAAGGUCUUCGGAUCGUAAAACUCUGUUAUUAGGGAAGAACAUAUGUGUAAGUUACUGUGCACAUCUUGACGGUACCUAAUCAGAAAGCCACGGCUAACUACGUG